GGGAAGAUGGCCGAGCGGUUAAGGCGCCACGUUAAGGCUUCGAGUCUUUAACCAACAUCUGAUUCUCAGAUUUCCGUGGUUCGAAAGAGCGUGGGUUCGAUUCCCACUCUUCUCA